UGGGGAAUAUUGGACAAUGGGCGCAAGCCUGAUCCAGCCAUGCCGCGUGAGUGAUGAAGGCCUUAGGGUUGUAAAGCUCUUUUAUCCGGGACGAUAAUGACGGUACCGGAAGAGUAAGCCCCGGCUAACUUCGUGCCAGCAGCCGCGGUAAUACGAAGGGGGCUAGCGUUGCUCGGAAUCACUGGGCGUAAAGGGCGCGUAGGCGGACAUUUAAGUCAGGGGUGAAAUCCCGGGGCUCAACCUCGGAAUUGCCUUUGAUACUGGGUGUCUCGAGACCGGAAGAGGUAAGUGGAACUGCGAGUGUAGAGGUGAAAUUCGUAGAUAUUCGCAAGAACACCAGUGGCGAAGGCGGCUUACUGGUCCGGUUCUGACGCUGAGGCGCGAAAGCGUGGGGAGCAA
rnacentral:rRNA from 1 species